CCAAAUAAUAGAAACUUUUUUUCGAUAUUAGAGAAGAUACAGAUAUGAAGUUCAAAAAUAGCUUUUCCCACAUUAGAAAGAACCACUCAGUACUGCAACCAAAGUUACUGUUAUAUAGUACAUGUUUGCACCUAUUGUUUAGUCUCUAACUACUAAUUCAAUCAGCAAAAGCAAGAAUGCUGCUCCAGAAAUAAACAUAACCCAAUCAUCCACAGCAUUCAUAGUAUCCCUCUCUCUCUGGUCCUCCUUUCAUUUAGAGUCCUCACACCUACGAUAGUACACCCUGCCUCACUCACACAUAUAUCACUAAAAUGCUAGCAAAGCAUAUUCUAACUCUUUUUGUAUUUACCCAUCAUCAUAGAAGCACAUCAGCUGAUUUUUUUUUUU